rnacentral:rRNA from 1 species
CGCUAGCGACAGGCUUAACACAUGCAAGUCGAGGGGUAACAGGGUAGCAAUACCGCUGACGACCGGCGCACGGGUGAGUAACGCGUAUGCAACCUGCCUAUAACUGGGGGAAUAGCUCCCUGAAAGGGGAAUUAACACCGCAUAACACUAUUGAUUCGCAUGGAUUAGUAGUUAAAUGUAGCGAUACAGGUUAUAGAUGGGCAUGCGUGACAUUAGCUAGUUGGUGAGGUAACGGCUCACCAAGGCUACGAUGUCUAGGGGUUCUGAGAGGAAGGUCCCCCCACACUGGUACUGAGACACGGACCAGACUCCUACGGGAGGCAGCAGUGAGGAAUAUUGGGCAAUGGAGGAAACUCCUUACCCAGCAAUGCCGCGUGAGUGAAGAAGGUCUUCGGAUUGUAAAGCUCUUUGAUUGGGGACGAAUAAAUGACGGUACCCAAGGAACAAGCCCCGGCUAACUAUGUGCCAGCAGCCGC